rnacentral:rRNA from 1 species
UACGUAGGGUGCGAGCGUUAAUCGGAAUUACUGGGCGUAAAGCGUGCGCAGGCGGUUUUGUAAGUCAGGUGUGAAAUCCCCGGGCUUAACCUGGGAAUGGCAUUUGAGACUGCAAGGCUUGAGUGCGGCAGAGGAGACUGGAAUUCCUGGUGUAGCAGUGAAAUGCGUAGAUAUCAGGAGGAAUACCGAUGGCGAAGGCAGGUCUCUGGGCUGACACUGACGCUCAUGCGCGAAAGCGUGGGGAGCAAACAGG